AGAGUUUGAUCAUGGCUCAGGAUGAACGCUAGCGGCAGGCUUAAUACAUGCAAGUCGAGGGGCAGCGCGGGUAGCAAUACCUGGCGGCGACCGGCAAACGGGUGCGGAACACGUACGCAACCUUCCCAAAACUGGUGAAUAGCCCUCCGAAAGGAGGAUUAAUACACCGUACCAUAACGAAGAGGCAUCUCUUUGUUAUUAUAGUAGCAAUACGGUUUUGGAUGGGCGUGCGCCUGAUUAGGUAGUUGGCGGGGUAACGGCCCACCAAGCCUGCGAUCAGUAACUGGUGUGAGAGCACGACCAGUCACACGGGCACUGAGACACGGGCCCGACUCCUACGGGAGGCAGCAGUAAGGAAUAUUGGUCAAUGGACGCAAGUCUGAACCAGCCAUGCCGCGUGAAGGAUGAAGGCCCUCUGGGUUGUAAACUUCUUUUAUCUGGGACGAAAAAAGCUCUUUCUAGAGCACUUGACGGUACCAGAGGAAUAAGCACCGGCUAACUCCGUGCCAGCAGCCGCGGUAAUACGGAGGGUGCAAGCGUUAUCCGGAUUUACUGGGUUUAAAGGGUGCGUAGGUGGGCAGGUAAGUCAGCGGUGAAAUCUCCGAGCUUAACUCGGAAACUGCCAUUGAUACUAUCUGUCUUGAAUAUCCUGGAGGUGAGCGGAAUAUGUCAUGUAGCGGUGAAAUGCUUAGAUAUGACAUAGAACACCAAUUGCGAAGGCAGCUCACUACGGGGUUAUUGACACUGAGGCACGAAAGCGUGGGGAUCAAACAGGAUUAGAUACCCUGGUAGUCCACGCCCUAAACGAUGGAUACUCGACAUACGCGAUAUACUGUGUGUGUCUGAGCGAAAGCAUUAAGUAUCCCACCUGGGAAGUACGAUCGCAAGAUUGAAACUCAA
rnacentral:rRNA from 1 species